rnacentral:lncRNA from 1 species
GACCAAAUCCAAGUCAAAAUCCACCUCCUCGUACAUAAACCUCCAACAUUCGCAUUAUUCUUUAUUUGGAUUCUUUCUUUUUUUCUUUUCUUUUCCUUUCCGUUUCUUCAGAAUUUCUCUAUUUUCCCUCAAGAGGUAAAAGGAUAGUUAAAUCGAUGACGUUUUAUUACUCUCCUCUCCGUUAGAUCUUGCUUUUCCUUUUUUAUUUUUCAAGUAAAUUUAGAAAAAGGUUGAUUUUUUGUUUGAAUUUGUUGUUUUGAUCUGUUUGCUGUUCGGAUAUUAAUUUUUUUGAAUUUGAAAUUUUACGCCCGGUCUGUCGUUUUAGUGAAAAUAUCGUAGAUAAUUGAUGGAAUCUGCUCUUGAUUUCUGUUUGAUUUUUAUGGGAAUAAUAUGUUUUGUCUUUUGAAGCAUGAAAUUGGACUCAAAUCGGUACCGGAAAUGAUUUAAUUCAAAUUCAGUUAAUAUUUGAUGAAUUUCAAUUCCAGGAUCCAAUUCAUACUUCCAAACACAGCGUUAGGCUAUCUGGAUAUCUGUGUUUGAGUGGAUACGUGUUCGUGCGGUGUAUAUAUGUGUGUUAUUUUACAUAAAUAGGCUCGAAUAUUAUGUUUCUAUGUAAAGAUUUUCUUUAGAAAUCUUGUGUGUGAUUGAAAUAGAAAUUACAUGCUAUGAUCUGAUUAUCUGUGCUUCUUAUAAUGCCGUAUCUUGUACAGGUUCUGAUCCGCUUGUCAACUAUUAAAUCGGAAAUUGAAAAUGGAUUUAGAAGUUUGAAAAUUUGAAAUGAUAUGUUCCUAUUAUCUUAUUUAUUGGCCCAAUCAGCUGUUUGCUAGACAAAAUUAUGCAUCCACCACAUAUUCUCAGGUUAUUUGUAAUAUACAUUAUCUUGUUUUAAAUUAACUUGUUAGUUGAGUGACCCUGAAUUCAGGUUUAGUUCCUUGGAAAGUUUUUCAUAACCGGACAAAAGUAAUGUUCUCAUAGACAAAUCUAUGUUUUCCUCACUCUCUUGAUUCUUGUUAUAUAUGUCACUAGAAUUUGAAUUGAGUUGCUAGUCGUGUGAUCCUGUAUUCAGGUUUGCUUCCUCAAAAAGUAUUUUGUAACGAAGAGGCAUUCAUCUAUUUUAUUUUUUGUUGCAGGAUAAAAAUUCUUGAGUUUUAGAUAUGUUAGAGCAGUUACUGAUAUUUACUAGAGGAGGUCUGAUCCUCUGGACAUGCAAAGAACUUGGAAAUGCACUAAGGGGUUCACCUAUUGACACCUUGAUUAGGUCAUGCCUUUUGGAGGAAAGGUCAGGUGCAGCAUCAUACAAUUAUGAUGCACCUGGUGCUUCAUAUACGCUUAAAUGGACAUUUCACAAUGAACUUGGACUUGUAUUUGUUGCUAUAUAUCAGCGGAUUCUUCAUCUCUUGUAUGUGGAUGACUUGCUUGCUAUGGUUAAGAAAGAAUUCUCGGAGAUCUAUGAUCCUAAGCGUACUGUGUACAAUGAUUUUGAUGACAUAUUUCUGCAGCUUAAGAAGGAAGCUGAGUCUCGUGCUGAGGAAAUGAAGAAAUCAAAGCAGGUGAACAAGCCUUUGAAUAAUAAUGUUGGUAAGAAGCAAGGAAAGGUGCAAAAUGGCAGUAUGGAAGGAGGCAAUAAAAAAAAGAGUGGAGGUGAAUCUGGAGAUGAUGCUGGAGAUGGAAACAAGUUUAAAGGUCAUCCAUUAGAAAAUGGAAAUUUUGAAAAUAACCAUGUUGGAAAUGGGGAAGUGCCCGCAAUGGGUAAUAGUAAAGAGAGUAGGGUCUCUGAUGCUGGGGCUUUUGAUGUAAAUAAACUCCAGAAGCUUAGAUCUAAAGGUGGAAAGAAAACUGACACUUCUGUUAACAAGGGUUCCAAGGUAGAACCCAAUAAAAAGGUAACUAAAAAGAACAGAGUUUGGAAUGAUUCACCAUCAGAGUCAAAAUUGGAUUUUACUGAUCCAGUGAGUGAGAAUGGGGAAGAAAAUGUAGCUGCUGUUAUAGCAGAUCAAGGUGAGAGUAUGAUGGACAAAGAGGAGAUUAUUGAUAGUGAAAGUGAUACUGAGGAUGGGGAAAUGGCUAAGGAUAAUAAGGUAGAAACGAAGAAGAAAAGUUGGUUCUCAUCCAUGUUCCAGAGGUAAACUCUCUAUCUUGCACCUAAUUAGUGUGGCAAUUCGUAUUUGCAAACUAAUUCAUUUUUUAGAACAUAUAUGUAACUCAGGUAGCUUCUCAUUCACUUUGAAACAGGAUCUUUUGUUUCAUAUCUGUCUGUGGGGUUUUUGUUGUCUUCAUGUGUAACUAGUAGUUGUGCCAUUAAAGAGAUUGGGUUAUUUCAUGUUUGGGCCAAAAUGGCACAUUUUAUUUUUUCGUAGAUGCAAUCAUUUUGACCUUGUAUAAUUUAGAAAGAUAUGAUAAGCUUAGUAAAAGUGUAUAACAGUGCCUCGUAAAACUUAAUUCUGUUUAACCUAAGAACCUCGUCAGAGCUGUCAUGCGGCAUUAUGUCCUCAAUUUCAAUGAUGAUUUUGUGGUCUCUAAAGCCUAGAAAUUAAGGUACACUGAAGUGUUCUUUCUACAGUCGCCUUCCUCUGAUAAACAACCCAAAAGUUGAAGAAAUAACCAAAGAAGAUAAAUAUAUGUAGAAAAGAUUAAUGCAUGAAAUGAGAGAAGAAAAUAAGUUCUUAGUGUCCUUUUAUUAACUUUUGAAGUUUGCAUAUGCUGAGAUCUUAUGUUUGGAAAUUUUCGUCUUCAUAAUUUGAUGACCUAAUGGUUAUUCUUCUCUUAUUUUAAAUAGUGAUAUCUUGCCAGUAUCAUAGGAGUGCUCUACAGAGAAUUUAGAAGCUCAUAGUUUUAGUAAGUCAGCUUUUGAUAAAUAAACUUUUUGCAUAUUUCAAAAAACUAAUUAUUGUGAGGAUUCUUGUUUACUGGGGUUCAUAUAAGUAGAGAUCAAGUUGUUUGCCUUGUUUUCUCCAUCUUGAUUAGACUUGCUUAUCGUCUUUGUAAACAAUGAAUUUGGCAUGAUUUGUGGACAUGCGAAUCACUUUUUGCUCAUUACUGUGGGUUCAGUAUCGCUGGAAAAACAAAUUUGGAGAAAUCUGACCUAGAACCAGCUCUGAAAGCUCUCAAGGACAGGCUCAUGACUAAGAAUGUGGUAUGUUAAUUAGCUUUUGCUGUUUACUGUGACUCAGUUUUACUUUUUGACAUUACUGUUUGAAGAUAGGGUCAGUACAGGAACCAUAGUUUGUCAGUUCCUUUGCUUAAAACUGUUUUGCCCAUUUCUAUUCAGUAAUAGUUUGUCAUACUUACUCUUGAAAUCACUUGAUGCUAUUCCUUGGAUAGGCAGAGGAAAUCGCUGAAAAACUUUGUGAAUCAGUUGCUGCGAGUCUUGAAGGCAAAAAGCUAGCCUCUUUUACUAGAGUUUCUUCAACGGUGCAGGUAAACAAACAUGUCCUACACAAUCCCUUCGAGGAGAACCCGCAAAAGAAAGGAAGCAGGGAAGAACAUUGUGCUUCAGCAAUAGCACAGACAUGCAUCUUUAGGAAAAGGAUACCUAGGCUAAUUAUUUUCUGGGUUACAUCUCCAUUUUAUUUCAAGUAGUAAUGUAUUCGAUUGAAUUGAUGAUACCAGGCAGCUAUGGAAGAAGCUCUUGUUCGUAUAUUAACUCCCAGGCGCUCCAUUGACAUUUUGAGGGAUGUUCAUUCUGCCAAGGAGCAACGGAAACCGUAUGUUGUGGUUUUUGUUGGAGUCAACGGAGUUGGGAAAUCUACCAAUCUUGCAAAGGUGAAGUAUGAUAACAUAAAUUGAUGCUUGUUGCCCUGCAGUUGUCUUAUCACUUUCAUGCCAUACCCCUAUGCAGGUUGCUUACUGGCUUUUGCAGCAUAAGAUCAAUGUCAUGAUGGCAGCUUGUGACACAUUCAGAUCAGGAGCUGUUGAGCAGCUGCGUACCCAUGCACGUAGACUCCAGGUAUACUAUUUUGCCACAGGGCCCAAAUCUUUAUAUUUGCUUGAGAUCUUAGUCUCACUUAAGAAGCAAGAACUUGCUUUGAAGUGAUAAAUGACUCUCAACUGAAUGACAUAUCAGAUCCCAAUAUUUGAGAAGGGUUAUGAGAAAGAUCCUGCAAUUGUGGCAAAGGAAGCAAUUCAGGAGGCAAGUCGAAAUGGUUCAGAUGUUGUUCUGGUUGAUACAGCUGGACGAAUGCAGGUUUAUGUAGUUAUAUUAAGUUAUUAUAAAAAAUGAUGAAUGAACUAAUUUAAGCAUUGUUAAGAUCAGUAUCCUUUGUCAAAUGAAUUUUGCAUGGGAUCCCGAGAACGAUUCUGCAUCUCAUAUUACACUGCCGA